rnacentral:misc_RNA from 1 species
AACAAGGCGUACCUGCGGACCUGCGGAAGGAUCAUUACCGAGUUAGGGUCUUAUAGGCCCGACCUCCAACCCUUUGUUUACUAUACCAUGUUGCUUUGGUAGGCCCGCCCUUUGGGGCCGCUGGGGGACUUUCAUAUUCCCUAGUCAGUGCCUGCCAGUAGCCUUCUUAAAUCCUUUUAUACUUAUGUCGUCUGAGUAUAACAAAUAAAUUGUUAAAACUUUCAACAAUGGAUCUCAGAU